UGAGGAGCCCCUCCGCCCAGCAGCCACCCCGUCUGGGAAGUGAGGAGCGUCUCUGCCCGGCAGCCACCUCGUCCGGCAGGGAGGUGGGGGGGUCAGUUUCUUAGAAAACUGAUUAUAGGAAAAGUCUCACGAAGCCUACCAGACCUUGCCCUUCUUAACAAAUGUGUCUGUUUCUCCCAAGACACUGUCUGCUUAUCCUGCAGCCUGCGUGUUUUCUAGUCACUACCAAUUAGCAUAAUUACUAUCUCAAGGCCUUGCCCUUUAUUGAUCCUGGUAGUUACAGCAGUUUACAGUCACGAGACGUGCUGACAGAAGGUACAAAUAUAUUCACCAGGACCUCCAAUGGAGUUCUGUCCCUUUUCUUGCUUUUCAGAAUUGCUUUUGUCUGCUUUUGUUUCAGAGUGUGCCUUCCUUUUCCUCAUUUCC
rnacentral:lncRNA from 10 species